GCUCCUCCUCCACCUCCUGCCAUCCUCUCUGUCUCUCUCACGCUCUCCCUUUCCUUUCACUACUAUAGUCCUUCUCGCUAGCGAACCCAAAUCUCAAUACAGAACUCUGAUCCUGAAUCUCUCUAGAAACCUCAGAAAAUAACUACCAAAACCCAGACGUUUAGGAAAAAAAUACACCACCACCUUCCACACAAACGCCCAAAGAACCAGUUUAGUGGCGUAUCAACAGAU
rnacentral:misc_RNA from 1 species